rnacentral:rRNA from 1 species
GUAAUAGUAGUUAUGUUCUUUAAACCUAAAGAAUUUGGCGGUGUUUUAGUCUAUUUAGAGGAAUUUGUCUCUUAAUCGAUAGUCCCCGUUUUAUCUUACUUAAUUUUGUUUUAGUUUGUAUAUCGCUGUUAUAAGUUUAUUUUUUUAGAAUUUUUAAUUUACUUUAAUAUUUAUUGUUUUUAUUUCAGGUCAAGGUGCAGCUUAUAAUUAAGGUGAUGAUGAAUUACAAUAUAUUUUAUGUACACGGAUUUUUAAUUUAAAUUUUAAAUUGAAGGUGGAUUUAAUAGUAAUUUUAAUAAUAGUAUUAAUUUGAUAUUAGCUCUAAAAUGAGUACACAUCGCCCGGUCGCUCUA